UAGGGAAUCUUCCGCAAUGGACGCAAGUCUGACGGAGCAACGCCGCGUGAGUGAAGAAGGAUUUCGGUUCGUAAAACUCUGUUGUUAGAGAAGAACAGCGCAUAGAGUAACUGUUAUGCGUGUGACGGUAUCUAACCAGAAAGCCACGGCUAACUACGUGCCAGCAGCCGCGGUAAUACGUAGGUGGCAAGCGUUGUCCGGAUUUAUUGGGCGUAAAGCGAGCGCAGGCGGUCAAUUAAGUCUGAUGUGAAAGCCCCCGGCUCAACCGGGGAGGGUCAUUGGAGACUGGUUGACUUGAGUGCAGAAGAGGAGAGUGGAAUUCCAUGUGUAGCGGUGAAAUGCGUAGAUAUAUGGAGGAACACCAGUGGCGAAGGCGACUCUCUGGUCUGUAACUGACGCUGAGGCUCGAAAGCGUGGGUAGCAAACAGG
rnacentral:rRNA from 1 species